rnacentral:rRNA from 1 species
UACGUAGGGUGCGAGCGUUGUCCGGAAUUAUUGGGCGUAAAGAGCUCGUAGGCGGUCUGUCGCGUCGGUCGUGAAAACUUGGGGCUUAACCCCGAGCCUGCUUCCGAUACGGGCAGACUAGAGGUAUGCAGGGGAGAACGGAAUUCCUGGUGUAGCGGUGAAAUGCGCAGAUAUCAGGAGGAACACCGGUGGCGAAGGCGGCAUCCUGGACCGACACUGACGCUGAGGAGCGAAAGCCAGGGGAGCAAACGGG